UACGGAGGGUGCGAACGUUAAUCGGAAUCACUGGGCGUAAAGCGCGCGUAGGCGGUUUGUUAAGUGGGAUGUGAAAUCCCCGGGCUUAACCUGGGAAUUGCAUUUCAAACUGGCCGACUAGAGUACGGUAGAGGGAGGUAGAAUUUCCUGUGUAGCGGUGAAAUGCGUAGAUAUAGGAAGGAAUACCAGUGGCGAAGGCGGCCUCCUGGAUCGAUACUGACGCUGAGGAGCGAAAGCGUGGGGAGCAAACAGG
rnacentral:rRNA from 1 species